rnacentral:rRNA from 1 species
CCUACGGGAGGCAGCAGUGAGGAAUAUUGGUCAAUGGUCGGGAGACUGAACCAGCCAAGCCGCGUGAGGGAGGAAGGUUCUAUGGAUCGUAAACCUCUUUUAUAAGGGAAUAAAGUGUGGGACGUGUCCUAUUUUGUAUGUACCUUAUGAAUAAGGAUCGGCUAACUCCGUGCCAGCAGCCGCGGUAAUACGGAGGAUCCGAGCGUUAUCCGGAUUUAUUGGGUUUAAAGGGUGCGUAGGCGGCCUUUUAAGUCAGCGGUGAAAGUCUGUGGCUCAACCAUAGAAUUGCCGUUGAAACUGGGGGGCUUGAGUAUGUUUGAGGCAGGCGGAAUGCGUGGUGUAGCGGUGAAAUGCUUAGAUAUCACGCAGAACCCCGAUGGCGAAGGCAGCCUGCCAGGCCAUGACUGACGCUGAUGCACGAAAGCGUGGGGAUCAAACAGGAUUAGAUACCCCAGUAUUC